rnacentral:lncRNA from 1 species
UUCAACUAGUGGAUGAAUUAGAGAAGGAGAUUAAUCAUGUUUUAAGGUUUGUACAUCAACAUUCUAAUCAAAAUUAAGAGCAUAGGAAGUUAAGCUAACUUUUAAGGGCAAAAAAAAUCAUCAUGAAAAACAUUUAAAAUAAAAAACACAAUACAAUUGGUAAAAAAGACAUACAUGGUUAAUUUAAAAGGCAACAAUUUAGCAAGUGAUGAUAAAAAAAUUAGAUAUAAGAAAAGUAAUUGAUGAGAAAUGAAAGGGGUUGGUUACAAUAUUAGAUCCCCAAUGGUGCAACAAGUUAAAUUUAAAUCUAUCUAUUCCUAUAACGCAACACCACACAACAAUUGUAUAUGAGACAUUCUCUACAAAUGAUUGUUUUUAACCAAGAAGAAAAUCAGGCAGAGUAAACACAAAAUGUUUGGUAGAUUCAUCAUCAACAGGACUAAAGAAAAUAUAAACAUGUGACCCAUCUAUGAUCCCACAAUCAACAAGAGAUUUCUUUUCACAUCUUUACUAAUCAACGGCCAACAAGCAUCAUCGAGAAUAAUGAUCAAACGGUCACAAGGGAGUUUCAUAUGUGCUUCAAUUUCUCUUUUUAGAUCUUCAACCGUCGCAUCAUUCUCUACUUCGACAAGAAUAAUUUUCCUGUAGAUUCUCUACAACAAUCUUCAUGGUAUCGAACGACAACAAAAACUAGUGAUUUAGUAGUUUUCAUUUUAGCAAUGUUUUGGUUUGAAACUAAAAAGGAAUGAUAAUGAAUUUUAGAUUUGGAGUUGCACACAAAUGGGAUGAAAGUGUUGUUCUGUUCAUGUGGGCUGCAUUCUCGGGAGUUGUUUGUGCGUAUUGAUUGAAUGCGUAUACUAAAUUUAGUAUUACUAAAAUUCUUUAUAUUGUGAUUAUUAUACUAGCUUUUAAUUUUUUUAAACUUAGACAUAAAAUGGACGUUUUCUUGAAAUAAGUUUGAAUACGCUUUUCUCUCCUUUAUAAUUCAUUUACUAAAAAAAAUCUAUUCAAUCUAUCUAAUUCAUCCAUUAUGUAAUGUGGCAUCAUCGUGGAAACAAAACCAAUGAAGGGAAAACAUUAAGAUCGAAAAAUCACAAACAUGAGAAUGAGAACAUGAUUUUUCUCGAAAAAGAAAAAAAGAAAAGGCAAUAAUAGAUACAAAGAAUCAUAAAAAUGAAAAUGAAAAUUGAUAAAUUGAAUAUUCUCGAGAAUUUCUUCAAGGUGGAUACCAAAUUUUCUCUGAUACUAUAUGUUAUGAAAUAUGACAUAUAGAAAGAAAGAGAAGAAAUGCUUAAAGUUUUUUAUAUUGAUCCAAAUAAAAUAUUGAAAAUACACUCCUUCUAUGAAAUUAUUACAAUUAUACAUAUGCACGGCUAUUAAGCACAAGUUACUACUAUCUCCAUACAAUUCAACUAGUGGGAAUUAGAGAAGGAGAUUAAUCAUGUUUUAAGGUUUGUACAUCACAUUCUAAUUCUAAAAUUAAGAGCAUAGGAAGUUAAGACUAACUUGUUAAGGGCAAAAAAAAUCAUCAUGAAAACAAUUUAAAUAUUAAAAACACAAUACAAUUGGUAAAAAAGACAUACAUGGUUAAUUAAAAGGCAACAAUUUAGCAAGUGAUGUAUAAAAAAUUAGAUAUAAGAAAUAGUAAUUGAUGAGAAAUGAAAGGGGUUGGUUACAAUAUUAGAUCCCCAAUGGUGCAACAAGUUAAAUUUAAAUCUAUCUAUUCCUAUAACGCAACACCACACAACAAUUGUAUAUGAGACAUUCUCUACAAAUGAUUGUUUUUAACCAAGAAGAAAAUCAGGCAGAGUAAACACAAAAUGUUUGGUAGAUUCAUCAUCAACAGGACUAAAGAAAAUAUAAACAUGUGACCCAUCUAUGAUCCCACAAUCAACAAGAGAUUUCUUUUCAUCAUCUUUACUAAUCAACGGCCAACAAGCAUCAUCGAGAAUAAUGAUCAAACGGUCACAAGGAGUUUCAUAUGUGCUUCAAUUUCAAUAAUGUUCCUGUCAGAUUCUCUACAACAAUCUUCAUGGUAUCGAACGACAACAAAAACUAGUGAUUUAGUAGUUUUCAUGUUAGCAAUGUUUUGGUUUGAAACUAAAAAGGAAUGAUAAUGAAUUUUAGAUUUGGAGUUGCACACAAAUGGUGAUGAAAGGUGUUGUUCUGUUCAUGUUGGCUGCAUUUUCGGGAGUUAGUUUGUGUGUAUUGAAUUGAAUGCGUAUACUAAAUUUAGUAUUACUAAAAUUCUUUAUAUUGUG